CUAAAUGAUAAUAUCCGUCUCUGAGAAUGGAGUAUAGGAGAAGUGGAUUUAGGGAUUACGAAGAGGAGGUGAAAAUGGUCCCACCAACGACAACAAUCAGCACCCCGCUAUGAGAAGGAGGGAGGAAGGAGGAGCCACGAGUCUUCUGGGAGAGCAGACUCCUAUAAGGCGCAAGUCUCCUAGCAUAGAAUCAUCCCUGGAUACCAUGGAGAGAGACAGAAGGAAGGAGUAUUGAUGCAAUUGAUGCACUGCACCUAGGAAACGUUAGGCCUUAUAGGGAGACAUAUUUCUUCCUCUAAGAGAACCAUCUGCUGGAAC
rnacentral:lncRNA from 1 species